AAGCCUAAUUAGUGUUCUAUAAGUUUCUCGUUGUGUUUGUCUAGUGUUGUGUGUUAUUGAUUUUUGUCAGUCGUGUAUAGGGCGUGUUUCCUGUAUUUCGCUCGGUUGAGCUUCCCUCCACUGUUGGAGUAUUUACGCACCUGUUUGUGCGCUUUUGUUUUGUUCGCCUUCGUG